UGGUAGGUUCUCCUUGAGGGCCUAGGAGCUCUCGGCCAUGGGUCCGAUCAUAUAUUCUGAGUGUUGAGUACAUUUGUAUGUUUUUUUCCUUUUAACCUGGUUUUCCUCUGGGAACCUUAGCCAUGAACUAGCAAUGCGUGAGGUAAAGAUGUCCUGUUUCCUCUUCAACGAGAGAAAAUGUGAAGACAGACAGACAGAUGCACACCCACACACAUACACAGAUGCUACACGAAGGUUAGAAAUAUGUUGCCCCAGACCACUGAGCUAGGAGAGAAUACUGAAACACAUCCCUAGCUAGCCCACUCAGAGAGAGCCUGGCCCUGUGACAUCCUGAUGCAGACCUGCAAGGGGACACAUGACUGUUGUAAGCCACUGUCUGACUGUUAGGGAAGGGUUUCAGAAAUCUACGGACUCAGAAGGGACACAUGAAAAGACAGCAUGACAGAGACUCUGAGGAGAGAUCAGGCCCAUGAGACUAAGUGGGCAGAGGACCCUAUUGUAGGUGUCAAAGAAAGAACAGAGAUCCUACGCCACAGGCUGGUUCCACCAACCCAAAGGCUAUGACUAUCUCCAGACAGCAUCUGAGGGUCGUGGGACAGGAACCCAGAGACCACUCGGUGCCUGAACCAGCCAUCUCCUGUAACCAGGCAAUGGUCUCAAGUGGAGGGAUUGGAACACCAACCCAGCCACGAAACCGUCAGACCUCCAGAUUGCCCUGCCCUGCAGAGGGUGCUGGGACCAGAGCCUAGCAGAACCAGAAUCUGGCAUGGAAAGAUACCAGAGAGGCUUCAUCCAGCAACUAAUGGGAGCAGACACAGAGUCCCAUAGGCAAACAUUAGGUGGAGCUCAGGAAAGUCGUGUGGAGGAGCUGGAGAAAGGAUUGGAGGAACCAGAGGGGUCAGAGAUGUACCAGGAGAGCAGGGUACACAGAGUCAAUGGACCGGGACUCAUGGGAACUUGCAGAGACCAGGGAGCCUGCCUGGGUCUGACCAAGGU
rnacentral:lncRNA from 1 species